GCGCCGGUAGCUCAGCUGGAUAGAGUGUCUGACUACGAAUCAGAAGGUCGGGAGUUCGAGUCUCUUCCAGCGCGCCA
rnacentral:tRNA from 1 species